rnacentral:RNase_P_RNA from 1 species
GAAGCCGGCCAGACGGUCGCUGCGCGCCUUCGGGUGCGGAGAGGAAAGUCCGGGCUCCGCAGAGCAGGGUGACGGCUAACGGCCGUACGUAAUAGUCGGGGGCUUGCCUUCGGCGAAGACGAGGAAUAGGGCCACAGAGACGAGUCGCCGCAGCUUCGCAAGAAGGUGCGGCGGGUGAAACGCGGUAACCUCCACCCGGAGCAACACCAAAUAGGCGGACGCUGCAUGCGCGGUACCGGCGUGCUGUGAGUGGCUCGCUCAAGUCCGCGGGUAGGUGGCUGGAGCCCUGGGGCAACCCCGGGCCUAGAGGAAUGACCGUCAUAGGGAGCAAUCCCCGUAACAGAACCCGGCUUAUCGGCCGGCUUCACUU